UAAGUAAUAGCAACCUUUAUAAUAUUUUACUUAUCAUGAUAUUACUGAAAGUAUCCACUGCUAUCCAUUUAUGAUUUCUUUGCUGCAAUACUUGAGGGCUACACAUUGUGCGUAUAUAAGCAGCUUAAAAUUCCACUCUAGAAUUCUCAUCCUUGUUAACCAACCUCGUAGACUAUAAUACCAAGUGGCUCUCUUUAUGCAUUCUAACUAUGUUGCAAAUGUCCACAGUGUUUCGCUCUAUACUUAGAUGAGGUUAGUGGGGGUGCUUUUCAUUUUUAUCUUUUUGAUAUAAUAAUCUUAUGUGCUCAAAUCCUAUUUUUUGUGCAAUAUCUUGGCCCUUAUGAUCCAUAGAUAUAUAAUUGUCUAAUUUUUGUCGAAUUCCAAUUGGGUACUGAAUGAAUUGGUUUACUACACAGUUAGGUCCUAUAUGAAAAGGUGAAAGUAAAUGUACUCAUUAUCUUCUAUUUUUGAUGAAAAUGUUUUGGUUUUGUUGUCAUAAGUUGAUGAACUAAACCAAUCCUAAAUCAAAAUAUUUACAUGAAUUAUGGUACAAAUCGUUAUUAGUCCAUGUAAAAUAAUCAAAAAGAUUUCUCAUCCUACCCUGCACUUGGUAAAGAGACCCUGAACUGAAGAAGAAACAAAUGAGGCAGCUAUUGCGUGAUCCAUGGAAGCUGUAUAAUUCUAGUACCAGAGUCUCAAUCUAAGCCGAACUGUUGGUAUUGGUUAAUGUUUGGUUAGUCCAUAGAACUGGUUGCUCUGUUUUUGGUUCUACUUCUCUCAACUCGUCAGCUAAAUGGGAUUUUGGGUUAGGGAUGAAAGAAUAUUGGAGUAUUAACAUUUUCUUGUUUGUUCAGGCAAUUGCUAAGAAGUUGGCUGACCUGAGUGGAAAGGGGGUCACAACCAUCAUAGGAGGCGGUGACUCUGUCGCUGCUGUAGAGAAGGUAGGGCUUGCUGACAAAAUGAGCCACAUUUCUACU
rnacentral:lncRNA from 1 species